CUCUCUGACAGGGCAUCUGAGGUCGGAGGCUGCGGGCUCUACCCCGGGGCCGAUCCAGUUCAGGGAGGUCAGAAAGGCAGCUCGGAACGCGCCCAACCGGGACUGGAAACGUGUGAAACUCUCGGUUCAGCCCGAUUCCGCCUCGUCCAGGCAGCUUGUCUUGGGGGCACCCUAACCUCUCCGAACCUCAGUUUCCCCAUCUUGGGGUCACUGAAGCCGGAAGUUGUAGAAGCACCUAGGAAGCUACGGGGUCCUGCAUCCGGACCAGUUUCCGGCUUUGCGCUCCCCGGUCUACACCCUCGAGGGCAGGCGGAGGCGGUUACCCCGAGAGUUCCGCUGGGUUGGAGCCCAUCAGCAGACGCCUUCCGAUUGAUGGUUGAAUUCGGCCAGUUCGCCACUUGAGACCUGCCCGUUUCUGGAUUUUAAUGGCCUUUUUUCCCAGGCAGAGGUGAAAGAAACCCGGGAAGCCUCCUGGAAAUCCCAUGUGAGUUCUCCUCAAAUACCCCCAAAUAAAUAUGCUCUGAGUG
rnacentral:lncRNA from 1 species